rnacentral:snoRNA from 1 species
AAACCAUGAUGAGGACACUUUAAGAGGAGGUCUUUGAAACGUUCAAUACAUCUAGAGAAUGAUUCAUUUGGGUCAUUGGUGAAACUGAAAAAUGUCGUUCCUAAGCUU